rnacentral:tRNA from 2 species
UCCGGGCUCGUCUAAUGGCAAGACAACGGCCUCUGGAGCCGUGAAUCGGGGUUCGAAUCCCUGGCCCGGAU